AAAGGUUUUCAGCACAAGGCCUACGCGAGCGGUCGCACGUGUGCUUAAACCCUUUCAAAAUAUUUUUGUUGAUUUUGAAUUUUUAAAAGAAAAGAGAAAAGGUUUUCAGCACAAGGCCUACGCGAGCGGUCGCACGUGUGCUUAAACCCUUUCAAAAUAUUUUUGUUGAUUUUUAAUUUUUUAUGAUUUUUAUAUUUUAUUUUUAUUAGCAAAGGAAUAUAAGAACACACAAUAAUAAAAACAAAUGCUAAAGCUAAAGGAAUAAAAAAAAACAAAGACAAUAAAAACAUCAUAGUCCAAGCCCAAUAAGAAUAGGGUGCAGAGGUUAAAACCGGGGGUGCAGUCUGAAAUAAUGUAUUCUGGCCCAACUCUNUUGCAGAAAUGGAGUGGUGGUGUGAAUAGAGAACAGGAGGUGACAGGCAGAGAGUCUGAAGUCCAAUGGCCAGGCCCAAAUGCUCUUUUCCUUUAACUUAAUAAUCUGUCAGGGUGGCAAGACUGAAAGCAGGGGUGCAGUUCUAAAUUUCUUGGUCCAGGCCCAAGGUAGGGGUGCAAUAUUAACGAUGGAGGUGCAGCUCGGAAUAAUACCUUGGCCCAAACCGGUUUUCAUCCACGGAAGCACUAUGGGGUCCAACUCAUAUAGCAGGGGUAUGAAUAGCGUUGCGUGAGGUGGCAAGAGGAAAGAAUAGGGCCUAAUAGCCAGGCCCAAGGCCUCUUCUUCUGUUUGCAGCAAUGAAAUGGGCUACAACCCAAAUAGAGGGGGUGCGAAUGGGAUUUGUGUGGCGGCAGGAAGAGGAAUAGGCCCAAUAGUUGGCCCAAACCCUUUUGCCCUAGCAGAAACGUUAGGGGUCUCUCUUCACUUCACCAUUUCAUCAUUUGCACCCAGUGCCAGAGACCUAAAUCUCUUAUUCCUCUGAUAAGAAGAACCNAGAGAUAUCUCCGCUACUCACGGCCACCCUACCUCCACUCAACCAGCCAGUCACCGCGCUGCCGCCUCCACCAUUCGCCGGUAACCGCCGACACCACCAGGACCACAGUCGGUCACGGCGCCACUGGCACCACCAUUUCUCACGGGGCGCCUCUCUCGUGCUCACGCACACCACUGGCUCUGCCCGACGGACACCAUUCUCAUCUGGCCAGCCCAGACGACGCCGGCAACCCCUAAUCAGACCACCGCUAUACGCAACCACUGUACCUCCAGUGGCCACCGUGAACCCCANUCGCGGUUCCUUCGUUACCAUCGUGUCGCGACCACCAUCGAAUCGAAGGCGCCACUCCCUUACUCUCUUCACGAGUGAAAGAGGUACAACCACGCCUCUGUGAACGACAUCACUGCCGCCGAGCCAGGGCCACCGCGAGCAACGAACCAGAGCCACCGAUUCAAGUCGACGUCGUCCGUCGAAUACCGCCACAAGCUUUGCCGAUCACCGUACCAAGUUCUAUUUUCCACCUUCCUUCUCUCUCUGCGAGAAUAGCCACUCGUCGAGCUAACAGCGUUUCGCCGGAAACAAACCCAGGGAAAUAGCUUCCUUCGUCAACCUCUGAUCCACGCGUGGUUCGAAAGCAACAAUUUCCCUUUUCUCCCUCUCUCUUGUUCGAAUUUGAAAUCAACGCCGCUGUCCCAUCUAUUUCUCUGCUUUGAUUGUAUUUGGGUUUUUCGGUGAUGGAGGAGAUUAGUCUGCAAUGGAUGAUGAUGGUAGGUUGUGUGUGUGUGAUGGAUGAAUCUGGGGUGUGUGUGAUGGAUGAAUCUGAGGUGUGCGUGAUGGAUGUUGUUAAGUGUGCCGCGGGUUGGGCAGAGUCGAGGGAUGGAGAGGCAGGUUUGCCAUGAACCUUGCAAAGGCCGAGAGAAAACCAAAUGAAGAUAGGAGAUGUUAGUUUAUGACUGAGAAUAUGGUUAUGGUCACGGGUUGUGCAUGAUGAGGAUGGAGAUUAAUUUUUGCCUUCUCUGUUUUUGAUUUCUGUUUGUGGAAACAAUGAUAGAUAGUAGGGAUUUCGGGGGAGAAUUGGUGUAGGAAAGGGUAGAGAUGUUGUCCGGGAAUGAUGGGAAAAUGUGGUUGGGGUUGGAGGCAUGGCGAAUGGUUUCUUUAUUUGAUUCAACAGUUGAAUUUUUUCAGAGAGGUGAUUACGGGUAAUGGUUAUGGCCUGAUGGUGGACGAAUUCAAAAAGGAUUGAGCAGUGACAGUGUUUGAAUAUUGGAGGUUGUUGGAGGUAAAGGAAGAAGGGAUGAUUCGGUUGAGAGGAGCCGAGGGGUGGUUACGGGUGAUGGGGCGUCCCUGAGGUGAAUUUGUUGGGGUCGUGAGAGUGGUCUCUGGUGAAUCUGUGUAUGGGUCAAGGUGAGUUGAAAUUUGAAUACCGUUAGAGAUGAGGAAUUAGGAAUCAAAAAGGGAAAUCUCAUUGGGUCAUUUCGGGUGCAAAAAUGAUGUGCCUCAUGAUUGUUGAGGUAGAGGAUGGAUUGAGAUUUUUCUGUUUGCGUUAGGGAGGAGACCAUUCUGUUAUUCCCCUGUCCAGCCCUUCCACCUUGNCCAUUGCCCAGACAAACGUUUUCCCUCUUUCCACGUCACCAAAAUUUUCUUUUUCCUUUUUUCACUCAUUUUUUCUUUUCUUUUUCGUCAUUGUUUUCUUUUUUUUCUUUUCUUUCUUUUUUUUCUUUUCUUUUUUUUCUAUUUUGCUUUUCUUUUCUUUUCUUUUUUUUUUUUUUUUUAAAAUAAUAAAAUUAAAUGAAAACUAAAAUUAAAUCUAAAUAAUAAUAAAAUAAAAUGAAAACUAAAUCAAAUAGUAAAAUGAAAAUAAAAUAAAACAAAAGUAAAAACAAGUUCGAUUAUUUAAUCACCCGGACGAAAUUGGGUGUUGACAACUUGGAAUGCUUCACGUUUACAAUUUUAUUUCAAUUAAACAAUUGUAAUAUUUGACCGACGUAUUCUUUCCUUCCAACAACAUUUUUCCCCUAAAGAGGAUUUUAGCACAUGAUGUUUUAAUGAGGCAUUCGAAGGAAGGAAUAAAAUCGGAUUUCAAGUCAUUUCAUGUGCACCCAUCGCUAUAAUUCCAAACAGUCAAGGAAGAGUUUUGCAAAGAACCCUUGCCACAUGGUUUAAACAUAAGCGGUCAAGGAAGAGAUCUAUAAAGAAUUGCUAAUGCACAGUCUAAACGUAAGCGGUCAAGGAAGAGUUCUAUAAGGAAUCCCUAAUGCACAGUCUAAACAUAAGCGGUGAAAAAAUAAUUCUACAAAGAACUCCUACCAAGUGAUCUAAACAUAAGUGGUUAAGGAAGAGUUUCGAAGAACCCCUGUCGCAUGAUCUAAGCAUGAAAGGUUAAGGGCAAAUUCCAAAGAACCCUUGUCACACACAUCUAUUAACAUGGUUAAGGGCGAGUUCUAAAGAACCCCUCUUAAACACAAACCAAAUGAUUAAUUAUUAAAUAAUUGGUCAAGGGAAAAUACUAAAGAAUUAUAAAGGAAAGGAAAAUGAGUAUGGACUUUUGUCAACGGUCUGAUCAAACGCAAUUUCAAAGACCAAAGCAAACUUAUUAAGCAUUAGCAAACAUCAAAACACAUCCUAACUCAUCACUGAUCAGUGCUAGGGGCUGAGUAAGACCCCUAGGCACCACCUGCACAAUCAAAAAGCAAGGAAAAUCAAUCUGCCCGGCCACCGCCCGACGGUGUCAACGACAGUUUUGCAAAAUCACCUCUAUAUGCUUUUAUUCUCCACCC
rnacentral:lncRNA from 1 species